rnacentral:lncRNA from 1 species
UCGGCUUGCAGCAAUUUUCAAAUAAAUAAUGCUGAUGCGAUUUAUAUAUAUUCUAUCUAGACCUAGCAAGCAGACGGGUUUAGUAACCGUGGACGGGUUAUUAUAACUGCGGGUCACAUGGACAUAGGUAAAAUUUAUCCGUAAAUUUUUGGACAGUCAACAUCAUUACACAGUAUGAAAAUAUUUUAUCAUUCCAAAUUUUCAUUAUACAAAAUUAAUAAAAAUUUUCAUGAUUAUAAAGUUAAUAUCAUAAAGAUAAUAUAUUUAUUAAUUAAAAAAAUAUAUGCUAAUAUAUGUGGGUACCCAUUGGAUUAUCUAAAAUGCCAACAACUUAAGCGAUACCCAUAUAUUUUACCCAUAAUUUUUUGAAUAAGAAAAACUAAUAUUCAUAUAUACCUGCAAAUUUAUAGGUAACCUGUGGGCACCUGCAGUAUGAAUAGAGAUUACUAGUCUAAU